rnacentral:rRNA from 1 species
GACGAACCGAGCGAACGUUGUUCGGAAUCACUGGGCUUAAAGGGCGCGUAGGCGGGCUGCCGCGUCCGGGGUGAAAUCCCACGGCUCAACCGUGGAACUGCCCCGGAUACGGGCGGCCUCGAGGGGGGUAGGGGCAUCUGGGAACUGUGAGUGGAGCGGUGAAAUGCGUUGAUAUUCACAGGAACUCCGGUGGCGAAGGCGAGGUGCUGGACCCCUCCUCGAC